UUCAGAUCAAAAGCCAAAUCUUUGGUGUUUGUGAGGAAAAAAAAUGCCCAGCAGCCGUCCUGCAGCACAUCAGUGCUUUGUCUGACUGCGGUGUGAAGGUGUUGCUCGGGACCAGGGACACUUGGACUGGUUGGUGCUACACACUCUUAGGCUACACCAUGAACAGCCUUCAUUUUCCCCUUAAGGAAUGCUGACCUUCCAGCUCCUUCCCACUGCUCCCUGUACCAAGGAGACACUUUGUUGAUGCGAGGAGUGGUGAGCAUAUUGAAGACUGACAGGAGAAAUCGCUUUGUGUCUCAAAGCACACACUGGUGAGGAUGAGAGGAUAUGUGACUGGAGUGGUGCAAACCAUGACCUGCGGGAUGGCCAGC
rnacentral:lncRNA from 1 species